rnacentral:rRNA from 1 species
CAGCCGCCACGGGAAUACGAAGGGGGCUAGCGUUGCUCGGAAUUACUGGGCGUAAAGGGAGCGUAGGCGGACUGUUUAGUCAGAGGUGAAAGCCCAGGGCUCAACCUUGGAAUUGCCUUUGAUACUGGCAGUCUUGAGUACGGAAGAGGUAUGUGGAACUCCGAGUGUAGAGGUGAAAUUCGUAGAUAUUCGGAAGAACACCAGUGGCGAAGGCGACAUACUGGUCCGUUACUGACGCUGAGGCUCGAAAGCGUGGGGAGCAAACAGGAUUAGAUACCCCGGUAGUCCCUGUCUCUUAUAC